AAGUCGUAACAAGGUUUCCGUAGGUGAACCUUGCGGAAGGAUCAUUAACACGUAUCCAAACGUUAAAACCCCCACCGUGAACCUUCAUCCUGCUCUUGGAACCCGCGUAGUUCGCAAUCUCUGAUAAAUCAUAGCCCGGAAAGUUGUAGUGAUUCAGAGACCAUUGGAUACGUGCGAACAUUGGAACAGUUACAAUCGAGCGGUAGUUCUAUAGGCAAUGUUUCCCCAAGCAGUCAGUGUCGGAAAGUGUCAUUGAUUGUGCAAGGAUAGCUCUUCUACGAUUCCUGUAGACCGUACACUCGGGCAGGAGCUUUGCCAAACGGCCCCCUAAUAACGUAAUACAUUGGGUAAAAAAACCGAACAACUGUUAACAAUGGAUAUCUUGGUUCUC
rnacentral:misc_RNA from 1 species